ACGGAAGGCAGCAGUGAGGAAUAUUGGUCAAUGGGCGGAGGCCUGAACCAGCCAAGUCGCGUGAAGGAUGAAGGUAUUAUGUAUUGUAAACUUCUUUAGACGUAGAGAAAUAAGGGGAUCGUGAUCCCUGAUGCUAGUAUACGUAGAAUAAGGAUCGGCUAACUCCGUGCCAGCAGCCGCGGUAAUACGGAGGAUCCGAGCGUUGUCCGGAUUUAUUGGGUUUAAAGGGAGCGUAGGCGGAAGGUCAAGUCAGCUGUGAAAUGUAGUCGCUCAACGUCUGCACUGCAGUUGAAACUGGCCUCCUUGAGUGCGUAAGAGGCGGGCGGAAUUCGUCGUGUAGCGGUGAAAUGCUUAGAUAUGACGAAGAACUCCGAUUGCGAAGGCAGCUCGCUGGGCCGCAACUGACGCUGAAGCUCGAAGGUGCGGGUAUCAAACAGGAUUAGAUACCCUGGUA
rnacentral:rRNA from 1 species